UGGGGAAUUUUGGACAAUGGGCGAAAGCCUGAUCCAGCAAUGCCGCGUGUGUGAAGAAGGCCUUCGGGUUGUAAAGCACUUUUGUCCGGAAAGAAAUCCUUGGCUCUAAUACAGUCGGGGGAUGACGGUACCGGAAGAAUAAGCACCGGCUAACUACGUGCCAGCAGCCGCGGUAAUACGUAGGGUGCAAGCGUUAAUCGGAAUUACUGGGCGUAAAGCGUGCGCAGGCGGUUUGCUAAGACCGAUGUGAAAUCCCGGGCUCAACCUGGGAACUGCAUUGGUGACUGGCAGGCUAGAGUAUGGCAGAGGGGGGUAGAAUUCCACGUGUAGCAGUGAAAUGCGUAGAGAUGUGGAGGAAUACCGAUGGCGAAGGCAGCCCCCAUGGGCCAAUACUGACGCUCAUGCACGAAAGCGUGGGGGAGCAAACAGGAUUAGAUACCCUGGUAGUCCACGCCCUAAACGAUGUCAACUAGUUGUUGGGGG
rnacentral:rRNA from 1 species